rnacentral:lncRNA from 1 species
CAGCCGCGCUCGCCCGCGCUCGCCGCCGUCCGCCACCAGCAUGCCAGAGCAUGCUCCGCCAGACGCUGCGCCACCUCCACCGGCGCCGCCACGGAGCUGCCGCCGCCUUGGGGUCCACCUACCCCCAUAGGCGAGGCGAGCACCCUCCGACUACCGCCUAGUUGCGCUGAAUCGCGCCUAGGCGAGCGCCUAGCGGAACUAUGGUUUCUGAACAUGACUGAUGCUUUAGUUCACUAUGAGCAUGUUUUUAAAGUUGAUUAAAACUUUGUUCUAGGUGUUUGUUUAAGACUGAGGUCCAGAAAUCACAAAUCAUUCUGCAUUUAUUGCACAGUUAAUUGUCAUACAAGUGGAUAAUAUUUUUCUUCUGUCAUUGCGAUGCUAGUUCAGUGGAAGUUUACAGUUUAGUCUGUAACAUUGUGUGCAUUGUUGGUACAAUGCAGUUCUUGAAUUUUGUCAUCUGUGCAGAGUUUAUCUGGUCUUCUAUAUUUACAUUUAGUGUUUGUUCCUACUGUUAAGACUGAAACGUGCUCCGUGUAUAUAUAAUUUAAAUUGUCUGUUUACCCUGAUGUUUCUGUUUUUGUCUGAUGAGCCUUGUUGCUAGUAUUUGAGGCAUUGGUUCUUUAUUCCUUAUGCGGUAAAGAAUGUACUAAUAGCCAUGUAAUGACCUGAAAUAUAUGUGUCAGCUGUGCAUUGCUAACAUGAAUUAAGCUAUACUGCUAUACCUUUAAAUUUUUAAUAAGCCACACAGCAAUGCAAAUUUUAAUUCUGUCGGCGAGGCACAUAGUUUUUCAAUAUGCUCUGUUUUUAGUUUUAUAUAUUCUCUCCAGAGGCACUGAGCCAUGUCUUUGUAUUGUGCAGGUAUGAUCCAUCAACAGGCAUCUAUGGAAUGGACUUCUAUGUCGUGCUCGAGCGUGCUGGCUACCGUGUUGCGCGCCGCAGGAGGUGCAAGGCCCGUGUUGGGAUCCAGCACAGGGUGACCAAGGAGGACUCGAUGAAGUGGUUCCAGGUCAAGUACGAAGGUGUCAUCCUCAACAAGGCUCAGGCCAACACGGUGUAAACUUUAGUUUGUCUAAGCUCCGUGCAGACGCAAGAUCACCUUGCAAGGUUUUUGUUCACAUUGUAUUCUCUGGCCUGAUGUUUUAGUCUACUAUAGCAGAGCUAUAAAACGCCGUAUGAAUUAUUUCAGUGCCCGUAUCAUACUCUGUUCUGUUGCUUGAAAACAUGCUAGUCUGAUCUCCCAGCGCAGCUUGUGAUCUGGCUCUUCUUUGGUUACAUUGCUUUAUUUAUCUGCCACACCUGUGUUUGAGUUUUUGUUGGUGAAUUACUGUCACCCGAUCUGGAAAACUGAAGCGAACUGAGGGGAAGGUUUCUAGGCCUUGUUUAGUUCCGAAAAAUUUUGGGAAAUGGACACUGUAGCAUUUUCGUUUGUAUUUGACAAAUAUUGUCUAAUUAUGGACUAACUGGCUCAAAAGAUUCGUCUCGUCAAUUUCGACCAAACUGUACAAUUAGUUUUUAUUUUCGUCUAUAUUUAAUACUCCAUGCAUGCGUCUAAAAAUUCGAUGUGACGGAGAAUGUGAAAAAUUUUGCAAAAUUUUCUGGGAAGUAAACAAGGCCCUAAUGUUUUUAUUUGGGUAUCAGCGCAGUACGAACAUUUGUGUACUGAUUGUUGUCUCUACAGAAUUUCUUCAAAAGGGUGGUAAAAUUCCAUGGGUGAAUGCAAGUGUCUACUGUCAUCAAGCCAUCAGGGACAGGGAGUACGAAAUAAGGGCUUGUGUUAUCCUAAAAUUUAUACGAUGAUAUAUUCUUUUAACAUAGGGGGUGAGACAUUCCUAAACAGCAGACAGUUCAUCCGUAAUGCGAAUGUAACCCAACUCGUUACCCAUACCCAUAACCUGAUACACCUGUCGCCCUCCACGGGAGCUUCGUCCGCUGCGUCGCGCGCCACUCGCCGGCGACCACCGACCUGUCCCGGCUCGUCCACGCACCGACGGCGGCGUCCUGCCCUUCCCUGCUCAACGCCACCAUCCAGAACCUCCGCUUCGCCUCCCCACGAACUCCGCGGCCGGUGCUGCUCCUGACUCCGGCGAUCGUCGCCGAGGCGAGGGCUUGCGUCGCCUGCUGCCGGUGCCACGGCCUCACGGUCCACGCCUCCAGCGGCGGCCACGACUACGAAGGCCUCUCCUACCGCUCGGUCCUCCGGAGCGCUGGCGCCGCCCGCCCCUUCGCCGUGGUCGACGUCGGCGUGUUGCGCGAUGUCCGCGUCGACGCCGCGCUCCGCGUGGCGACGGUCGGGCCGGGCGCCACACUCAGGGAGCUCUACAACGCCGUGGCGCGUGACAGCGGUGGGUUCGACCCCGGGCUGGGCGCAGACAACGUGGUGGACGCCGAUGGGAGGCUCCUGGACCGCGCGGCCAUGGGCGAGGGCCACUGCUGGGCGAUCCGCGGCGGUGGGGGCGAGAGCUUUGGCGUGGUGGUUGUUAGAAUCGACGUAUGGAAAUAUGAAGUAAACGAAAUCAAUCACAGCGGAGACACACGAUUUACGUGGAAAACCGCUCCAAUGGGAAGGGAAAAAACCACGGGCGCCAGUCUUCUCACUAUUUUCAAGUGUCGGGUUACAAGUUACAACACCAUGCGGUGGCUUACAAGAGAAUGAAAUAUAUUGUCAUUCUGAGCAAAUGACUAUUCAUAGCCUAUGCAUGCCAUCCAACAAUAUUACUCCAUGGCUGUGCGCAAGGAGUGUGACGAAGAUCACACAUCUCUCUUGAAGACCAUGACCUUGCGAAUGUUAUGCAACCACAUUUCUUUUGCCAACCAUAGCCAUACAAUGUGCAUGCAAUUCCUUCACGCACAUAUGCUAUUCAUAGAGAAAGCAUCACGUUGAAUUUGGAACACUUCAACAAACUCCACCUUGAGACAAAUUCAUCUUGUAUCAUAAAUCAACACCUUCAUCUUGAACAUAACAGAGAAAAAUAUUGCUGGCGCCAAAUAGCCUCUUAGGCUAAUCCACUAAACCAACUAAGCUUGAGCACAGCUCAAACUUAGCAACAGGGACAUGUUUAGUCAUCAUAUCAGCAGGAUUAUCAUGAGUACUGAUCUUACAUACCUUCAGCUUACCUUCUUCAAUCACAUCACGCACAAAAUGAUAUUUGAUAUCUAUGUGCUUAGUUCUCUCAUGGAACAUCUUAUCUUUAGUGAGGUAAGUUGCACUUUGACUAUCACAAUGCAAACUUAUGCAAGAUUCAACUCCACACAGCUCAGCGUACAAACCUUUUAGCCAAAUUAAUUCUUUGCACGCUUCACAAAUAGCCAUAUAUUCUGCUUCAGUAGUAGACAAAGCAACAACAGACUGUAAAGUAGCCCUCCAACUCACAGCACAACUGCCAACAGUAAACACAUAACCUGUAAGUGAUCUUCGCCUGUCCAGAUCAGCAGCAUAAUCUGAAUCCACAUAACCAAUGAGACCCUUAUCAGUUCUUCCAAACUUCAAACUGGAAUAUGCUGUGCCUCGGAGGUACCUGAAAAUCCACUGAACUGCCCUCCAAUGUUCUUUACCGGGAUUAGACAUAUAUCUGCUAACAAGACUCAUAGCAUAUGAUAAAUCUGGACGAGAGCAGACCAUGGCAUACAUCAAAGACCCAACAGCACUAGAAUAAGGAACCCUUGACAUGUAAUUAGUCUCUGCAUCUGUACUAGGACACUGAGCAGCUGACAACUUAAAGUAAGGUGCAAUAGGGGUACUAACAGCCUUAGCAUUCUGCAUGUUGAAACGCUGAAGAACUUUCUUGAUAUAAUUUUGUUGACUUAGAAAUAGCAAACCAGAUUUUCUUUCUCUACUAAUUUCCAUACCAAGAAUUUUCUUAGCACUACCAAGAUCUUUCAUAUCAAACUCACUACUCAAUAACUUCUUUAACUUAGUGAUUUCAAUCUUACUCUUGGCAGCAAUCAACAUAUCAUCAACAUAUAACAACAAAUAUAUAGGUGAUCCAUUAACAUGCUUGAUGUAUACACAGCUAUCAUAUUUAGAUCUUUUAAAACUGUGUGACAACAUAAAUGAAUCAAACCUCUUGUUCCACUGACGAGGGGACUGUUUCAAACCAUACAAGGAUCGCUUCAACUUGCACACAUAUUUCUCCUUGCCAGGCACUAUGAACCCUUCCGGUUGGUCCAUGUAUAUGUCAUCCUCAAGCUCUCCAUGCAAAAACGCAGUCUUCACAUCUAACUGCUCAAGCUCAAGAUCAUGUGAAGCAACAAUACUUAGGAAAGUAUGAAUUGAACUCAUACCACUGGAGAGAAUACAUCAUUAUAGUCAACACCCGAAAUUUGAAUAUAUCCUUUGGCUACUAACCUUGCCUUGUACUUUGGAGGCUCACUUGGAGAUAAACCCUCCUUUCUCUUGAAGAUCCAUUUGCAGUUGAUGGUCUUCUUUUUCUUAGGCAAAGGUACAACCUCCCAUGUACUGUUCUUCUCAAGAGACUGCAUCUCCUCAUGCAUAGUAGAAAUCCAAUUCUCACUAUCACCACAACGAACAACCUCUUUGUAGGUUGCUGGCUCAUGAACAUUCUCCACCUGUUCAGCACAACUCAAAGCAUAGUAAGACAAAUUACAUUCUUCAAUGAGACGUUUGGGAGGUACAACUGUCCUUUUUGACUUGCGUUGAGCAAUAGGUAAAUCCUCCUCUUGCUGCAAAAUAGGAGGAGUUUGCUGAACAUCAUCAUGAGCAUCAUCAUCAGCAACAUCAUUAGCAUGGUCAUCAUGCUCAUCAAUAGGCUCCACCUGCACACCUGUAUCAUCAUCAACAUGCCCCACCUGCAUGUGUAUAUCAUCAUCAACAUGCUCCACCUGCAUGCGCAUACACUGCAGCUCUGUUUCUGGAACAUGAUCUGAGGGCAAACUGUCAGUAAACAUCAUAGAUUCGUUGAAAACAACACUUCUGCUCAUAAAAGUCUUUCCUGUAUCGGGAUUCCACAGUUUAUAACCCUUGACUCCCGAGCUAUAACCAAGAAAAAGACACUUAAUAGCUCUAGGCUCUAAUUUUCCAUUAUCAACAUGAGCAUAAGCAGUGCAUCCAAAAACUUUCAACUGUGAAUAAUCUACAGGUGUACCAGACCAUACCUCAAUAGGAGUUUUCUUAUUAAGUGGAAUAGAAGGCGACCUGUUUAUCAAGUAACAGGCAGUAUUUGCAGCUUCAGCCCAAAACUGCUUGCUCAUCCUGGCAUUAGACAGCAUGCAACGGGCCUUGGAUAUGAUGGUUCUGUUCAUACGUUCAGCCACACCAUUCUGUUGUGGAGUAUGGGGUAUGGUGUGAUGCCGAACAAUACCUUCCUGUCUGCAAUAAUCAUUAAAGGCAUGCGAACAAAAUUCUCCACCAUUAUCAGUACAAAGUAAUUUUACCUUUCUUUCAGUUUGCCUUUCUAUCAAUACUUUCCAGUUCUUAAAAGCAUCAAAAGUAUCAUCUUUAUGUUUCAGAAAAUAAGGCCAAACCCUUUUAGAGUAAUCAUCAAUAAUUGUAAGCAUGUAACGAGCACCACCAAGUGAGGGCUUCUUAGAAGGACCCCACAAAUCAGUAUGAACAUAAUCAAGAGUACCUUUGUGCUGUGAACCGAAGUGUUAAAGUGUACCCUUAUAUGCUUCCCGAAAAUACAAUGCUCACAAAACUUCAUGUUACUCGGAGUGCAGCCCUUCAACAAGUUUCUCUUCACCAAUUCUGUGAUACCAAGUUUACUCAUAUGUCCCAAACACAUAUGCCAAAGGUUAGUCUUACUAGGUUCAUCAUUAGUAACAGCGGAAGCAAUAGAAUCAGAACCAGGUAAAGUACACCCUCUAAGGACAUAUAAAUGUGCAGAACUCAGAUCACCUUUUAGGCAAACAAGAGAACCUUUAGACACCUUUAGAACGCCAUUUGAACCGGAAUAUUUGUAACCUUCUGCAUCUAGCGUGCUCAAUGAGAUAAAAUUUCUAGACAUCCCUGGAAUAUACCUGACAUUCUUCAGUGUGUGUGUCAUGCCAUCAUCAGUCUUGAUCUGAACUGAUCCUAUUCCCACGAUCUCACAUGGGUUAUCAUCUCCCAUCCGCACAACAUUCCCUUUCUGCACAGGCUCAUAUGAACUAAACCAAUUUCUGUUAGUGCAAAUAUGAAAUGAACAUGCAGAAUCAAGAAUCCAUUCAUCAUGACUUGCAACACAACCAGCAAAUACUACCAGACAAUCUCCAGAAUCAUCAUCAGAAGCAGCAGCAGCAGCAACAACAGAGACCUUACCAGCCGACUUGUUGUUUUUCUUCUCCUUAUUCUUUAGUUUUCUGCAGUCCUCAACAUUAUGAUUUUUCAACUUGCAGAAAACACAGAAUUUUUUAUUACCAGGCGGCUUGGACUUUGAACGGCCUCUUCCAUCGUAGCUCUUGUCACGACUGUCAUUGGAGUAUCUAUGCUCAGAUCUGCCUCUCACAUGCAAAGCUUCGCCCUUGGAGGACGACGACCCGUCAUACUGCACCAUGCCUUUCAUCUUCUCCCUAGACUGGAGAGCCUCAUAAACUUCCUUUAGGGUUAGUUCAUCACGGCUUAAAAGUAUGGUGUCACGGAAAUUUGCAUACGAAUUUGGCAAUGAACAUAGAAGUAAAAGACCUAAGUCCUCAUCAUCAUACUUCACCUCCAUCGGCACUAGAUCAGCCAUGAUCUUCUUAAAUUCAGCGAUGUGGGUCAUCACCGAAUCCUCCUUCAUCUUUAGAGUGAACAGCUUCAUCUUCAUCUGCAUCUUACUGGUUAGAUCCUUGGACAUACAGAUCGAUUCCAGUUUCAGCCAUAGUUCUGCAGAAGUUUUCUCCUUCAAACACUCCUGCAAAAUAUCAUUAUGAAGAUAUAGCUGGAUUAGUGCGAGCGCCUUCUGAUCCUUGCGGGUCUCCUUAGGAGUCCACUCGGCCUUCCUCUUGCCGAAAUUAUCCAGCGCCUCAUCAUAGUCAUGAGUCUGCGCCAGAAUCCCCCGCAUCUUGACUUGCCAUAGCGAGAACCGCGUGUCGUAGUUCAAUAGCGGAAGAUCGAACUUCAUCGACGUCGACAUGAACCGAUUUACGUGGAAAACCCCUCCAAUGCGAAAGGGAAAAACCACGGGCGCCAGCCAGCAACUCUUCUCACUAUUUUCAAGUGUCGGGUUACAAGUUACAACACCAUGCGGUGGCUUACAAGAGAAUGAAAUAUAUUGUCAUCUUAGUGGAACUCUAUUCUGAGCAAAUGACUAUUCAUAGCCUAUGCAUGCCAUCCAACAAUAUUACUUCAUGGCUGUGCGCAAGGAGUGUGACGAAGAUCACGCAUCUCUCUUGAAGACCAUGACCUUGCGAAUGUCAUGCAACCACAUUUCUUUUGCCAACCAUAGCCAUACAAUGUGCAUGCAAUUCCUUCACGCACAUAUGCUAUUCAUAGAGAAAGCAUCACGUUGAAUUUGGAACACUUCAACAGUGGUUUCCUGGACAGUGCGGCGGUCCCCGUGCCGCGCAUCGUCUUCGCCUUCACCGUGCGACGCCUAGUCCGCCACGGGGACCGACGGCAGCCCCAGGCAACGGUCCGACUGCUGGCCAAGUGGCUGCGCGUGGCGCACACGCUCCCCGACGACCUGUUCGUGAAGGCGGCCAUGGAGCCGGAGCUCGAUGACGCCAGCGUGAGGCACCUGCUGGUGACCUUCAAGUCACUGUUCCUCGGCAGCAACUGCAACGGGACGGUGGCAGAGAUGAGCACCCACCUACCGGAGCUUGGCGUCACGGCGAAAGACUGCAGAGACAUGAGCUGGAUCCAGUCGAUGCUCUACUUCUAUGGGUGCACGAGCGGGCAGGCCACCGCGGAGGGGCUCCUUGACCGGAGCCUGCAGCCCAAGGACUACUACAAGUUCAAGCUGGACUACGUGACGACCCCGAUCUUGGUGUCCGUGCAGGCGGGGCUCCUCGCCAGGGUGGUGGAGGACAGGGGCGGGUCCAUCGACGUGGACCCACAGGGCAGCGCCAUGAGCGCGAUGCUAGACUCGGACACGCCGUAGGCGCACCGGCGAGGGUACCUGUACAACGUGCAGUACUUUGUCAAGUGGGGCGGCGACGCCAAUGUGUCGUACGAGGACGCGCACCUCGGGUGGGUGUAGGGCGUGCACCGGUGGAUGACGCCGUAUGCGACCGUGAGUCCCCGGGCGGCGUACGUCAACUUCAGGGACCUGGACCUGGGGCAGAACGUGGACGGGGAGACGACCUACGAGGCGGCCAGGGCAUGGGGGGAGAUGUACUUCAGGGGUAACUUCAGGAGGCUGGCCAUGGUGAAGGCCGAGGUGGAUCCUGACCAGGUGUUCUGGAGCGAGCAGAGCAUCCCUCCCCUGUUUGAGGUUGGGGAGGAGACAGGGGAAUGACACAGUCAGAGUGGGUUGUUUUUAGACAAUUGAUGAGUGAUCUUCUCCUUCUCUUGCCCGAAAAGCCAUGAAAUAUUGUUUGUUGAUUUGUUGUGAGAAAAACACUAUUGAAUAGUUAACAGUCGGCAGUUAAGCUAAAGCAAACAUGCUCAUCUAUUCUGCAAUAGAAUGUGAUGUGCUUUCCCCAAGUGUCAAUAGCCAAUGAUGCAAUAGAACAGCACAGUGAUGUAUCAAUCAUAUAUUCAUGAAUUACCAAAGGCGACACUGUGAUUUCUAAAUUCUGCGCGACAUCUUGUUGCUAGUUUCAGCAUUUUCAGUGUGGCACUGCUGAUAUUGCGAGGCAAGGAGUAUUGGCGCCCAUGCUAUGUACAAAACCAGCACCGAAACUGCAGGGCCUCAACUGAAGUUGCAGUGGAGGUUGACAUGGAAUGAACUAGAAAACCAGCUCGGCUUUGUCGUGCCCUCCGUGGAGUGGGUCAGCCUGUUUUUACAGGUUUUGUUACUCCUCUUUUCUCUAUAUCUUCUCUACUUUUCACAGUAUCUUCUUUGGAAGACGUAUUAAUACUGAUAAAUAGAGGGGAUAAUUGUGCCUAUAAAACAGUGGUAAUAUUGAGAUAUGGUAAAACUUUUCUAUGCUAACAUCUUUAGAACAAAUGUGUAUUUCCAUUUUCUGCCUAAUCAAAUGUUGUUCGUUUAGGAGGCCUAGAACCUAUCAUAGAUCUCACUUAAUUUGUGGACAGGUUUUUCAAUAGCUUGGAGGUAUAGCUUGUAUCUAUAUGUUAUGAAUAAUAAACAGAUAUUAAAUUGCUUUUGUCUCCAAUUUAGUUCUGUUUUUUUGGGUUAGGUCCCUGGAAUCAUCAGAGAGGUCUCAAGCUAACAUAAACAUGGACCACUUUAGCACGAGUGCUAGAACUUUAUUGUGAUCAUACCAUUACCAUCCAGAGUGCAGCAUCAUUUCUUCUUGGAAGUCUAUUACUACAACGUGGGAGAUAUGGAGACAAAGAAACCCUCAAAUCUUGAGGGGAACUCUAAUACACAGGAGAUAUGUGUAUCAAGAAGAAAAGGGGAUAGAAACCAACAACAUCACACAACCCCACGACACAGACAGAUCACACACAAAAACAAAACGAAAAUGAACUCGCCAAUGACUGCAAGCACCAAACAACCUCAGCCAACAAAGUAACUAACGGUAGACCUAAAGGCGAGGAAAUGUGAAACAUCUCGAGCCAUAGCUAAACACUAUAAAUGUAGUUCCUUCCUGAUGAACUCUAAAACUCCAUUCAAACUAGGCCAGAUCCCAUCAAACACGUAUGGAUUGUGGAGAUUCCAGAUUGCCCAUGUUCGAAGGAUAAUAAUGGAGUUGAGACCUCCAACUUUUGUUUGAAACAUUCCAAAGUGAUAAAAAGGUUCAACCUAGGUGUCAACACUAAGUGAUCCUACCUGUCUUUAAUUAGGUUACCCAUACAAGAGAGAUCAACAAACUAAUGUGCCUCCCAUUUUCUAAGUAAGUCAUCAUAGAUGUCUCGUUUCUUAAUCUUUUGCAUGCACAACUUCAGCUUGGACAGUGUCGAUGAACUCAACUUGUCAUCCUUCAGCUUUGAAACAAGCAUGUUCCCACACUCCUCUAAAGGUGGCAAGCCAUUCUCCACCACGCAGCUCCAAAUUCUGAUCCCAGUCUCCCAAUAGCGUGCAUCCAAAAACAAGCGAAGUGCAAGCGAACAAUUUCCCUCGUUUGGCCAACAUUCGUUCUUAACCAUCUCGCUAAAUAUUGUUGCUGCCUUAUGGAGCUCCCUUCUCUCUAGCAAAAUCAGGAGGAACACAUUGUAUGUGUUGGUAUCAGGGACCAAUCCAUUGAAGAUCAUGUCAUCGAGAUAAUCCACUAUCACCUCAACAUGCCCAAGACUGCCCUGUAGCAUGAUCAUUGUGUUGUACAUUUCCAUGUCUGGGACAAGCCCUCGACGCCCAACAAACUUGUCCCAUAGAUAAGUGGCGCCGCGCAAUUCUCCUGCCUCAAGGUGCACGGCGACAACAGCACAGAAGAACCUCUCUCCUGCUCCCGGCGAACAGCUGCGCUUGUUUAAGAAGUCUAGAUAGUACAUUGCUUCUAGUAGCGCCAUGGAGGAGUUGCUUGACACAAGCAUAGCGAGGAAGGCCUCAUAGGCAGGCAUGUUGUCAGGACCAACACCGAUAUCAUGCACCAUUUCAUCGCACACGUCACGCGCACCCCGCGUGUCGGCAGCAGCCUCGCAGCACUCGAGGAGGAUGGCAUAGGAGUCGGCAUCCAGAAGCGUGCCAGCCUCGGCGUGGGCUACAGGGAUCGCCGCACGAGCGUCGUCGAGGCGGUCGGCACGACAGAGCGCGGAGAGGAACGAGUUGAGCGCCGACAUGUCGCGGGCCAUGCCAUAGCGCGGCAUGUCGUCCAUGAACGCCUUGAGCGGGGAACAGCCGGGGCUUGCCGCCAGGGAGGAGAAUACGGAGGCGAAAGUGUCGAGCGAGAGGAGCCGCCGCGAGUGCAUGGAGUCGAGGUUUCCCACAUGCGCGUGAAGAGGCGGUUUGCACCGAGGAUGUCGACGACGAGGUUCCAUGAGUAGGGGGAGUGGUUGUCGUGGCCGAGGUGCCAGUGCCCCGCCCAGUGGAAGAAGGCGGCGGCAGCGUGCGGGUGCGCGUAGGAUAAGUGAAGCACCUGUUCGACGUCAGCGGUGGUUACACCGCGGAUGUCGGCCUCAUCGAGCGCGGCGUCCAUGUCGUCGUCGGCGCGGGAGGCUAGGAUAUCGUAGAAGAUGCGGGUCUUGUGCGGCAGCUCGGAGGCUUCCUUGUUUGUGGGGAACGCCGGCGAGGACGGGUCGCGGGCGCGCUUCGCCGCCGACGAUGCCAUCGUGGUUGCGUUGUCGGACGGCCGCUUCGCUAGGUGAUGGGACAUCACGGCAGGGGAACUCGAGCGGUCGCCUGGACAGUGGACCGGACCCCGGGAGGCUGCACUGCUGCAGGGGUCAAGUUGGGCCGACGGGAUUACGCCAUGUUCCGUUAAACUGUACGAAGUAUCACAUAGGCCUUGUUUUUCUCCAUAAAAAUUUCAAGAUUCUUUGUCACAUCAAAUCUUGCGGCACAUACAUAAAGGACUAAGGCUUUGUUUAGAUCAAAAAGUUUUUAGAUUUUGACACUAUAGCACUUUUAUUUUUAUUUUAACUAGAUUUAAAAGAUUCUUCUCGCGAUUUAUGCAAUUAGUUUUUGUUUUUAUCUAUAUUUAAUGCUCUAUGCAUGUGUUGCAAGAUUCGAUGUGAUUGGAAAUUUAGAAAAGUUUUUGGUUUUGGGAACUAAACAAGGCCUCAAAAACUAAAAAGUUUUCAAGAUUUCCCGUCACAUCAAAUCUUGCGGUAUAUAUAUGGAGCAUUAAAUAUAAAAAAAAUAAAAACUAAUUACACAGUUAUCUGUAAAUCGUGAGAUAAAUCUUCUGAACCUAGUUAAUCCGUGAUUGAACAAUAAUUAUUAAAUAAAAACAAAAAUACUACAAUAUCCCAAAUAAAAAAUUUUUGGGAACGGCCUAAAUAUAAAAAAAAUAGAAACUAAUUACACAAUUUACCUAUGAUUUGCGAGAUGAAUCUUUUGAGCCUAGUUAGGCCAUGACUGGACAAUAAUACCAAAUAUACAAACAAAAGUGCUACAGUACCCAAAAUCCAAAACUUUUGCCAACUAAAUAAGGCUUUAGUUCACCCAAAAACUAAAAGCUUUUCAAGAUUUUCCGUCAUAUAGAAUCUUGCGGCACAUGAAGCAUUAAAUAUAGUUGAAAACAAAAACUAAUUUUAUAGUUUCCGCUGAAUGCUUUGCCACCGAUGUCAAUGGUUCUGGCUGGGCUGAUACUUUGCGGUUGCAGCUCUUGGUGAUUUCUUCGCUGUUGUUCGCUGUUGUUUCGGCUUUCCUAGCGAAGGGGAGGAGAAUGAGCUCGUAGCUCGAAGGGCCUUGCAAACAUCUACGAGUGUUUGGUUUUUCAGUUUAAUGGGUGGCAAACCCGCUAGCAUUUGUUUCAAUUGGUUCAUGUGACGAGCUGACUCGAUUCUUAUGGUUAGCAGGUUAUUGGAUGAUGCGGCCCUAUCCAUGGAUAUAUUUUUGGAUGCAUAAUUUCUCGAGCGCCUGGUUUUAGUUUAAUGGGUGAGACACCCGCUAACAUUUGUAUCGAAUGUUCACGUGAUGAGCUGGCUCGAUCCUACACCUUUUGGGUUAUUAGGUGAGUCUUAGAGAGUUUUCAAAACUGUCAUGUCAUGUGAAAUAAAAUAAAAUUAGGAUAAAACACACACUCUCAAUGGAGAGUUUUAUUUUAUAGUUUCAUAGGCAUUUAAUUCCAAAACUUAUAGAGAGUUGGUAAUUGUGCCAAGAGAGUUUCAUCUAGAUGAAACUCAUUUCUUCUCUCUCUUCUUAAAUACACUGUCAUAUCAUAAAAACCCCUAUGUCGCAACCUAUUUAAUGCAAAUAAAACUCAAAUAAAUCUCCCAUUGAAACUGCUUAGAUGACGUGGCCUUCAUCCAUGGGCUCACUUUUUGAUAUAGAUUCCUAUAUUAUUUUAUUAUAAAGAAGAUUCAUAGUUUCUCCGUCCUAAAAUAAUUGUUGUUUGUAUUUCUCAAUAAAUUAAUUUGACUAAAUAUAUAUUAAAAAAUAUUAAUGUUUAUGGUACAUAAUAAGUAUCAUUAGAAGGAUCUUUAAGUCUAGUUUUGAACAAAUUUAUUUGAUGAUACAAAUAUUGCAUGUGUUUUCUACAAAUCAAAACAAACUUAUGAUAUGAAAAUUAAAAGCUACAAUUAAUUUAGGAUGGAUAGACUGGCCUUGUUUAGUUCCGAAAAUUUUUUAGAUUUCGAUAGUGUAGUAUUUUCGUUUUUAUUUGACAAAUAUUAUCUAAUUACAGACUGUUUCUGUUUGCUUCUCUUCUCACUCCUCGUCUAGCUAUCCAUCCAUGGCGCCCUUGGCCUUAACUCUGGUGCCCGCCAGCUACCUAUAUAUAUAUACUCUGCAAACAGCUAGGGGUGUUUGAUUGGUGAUUAGAUACUGUAACAUUUUCGUUUUAUUCGACAAUUAUUAUCCAAUCAUAAACUAAUUAGGUCUAAAAGAUUCGUCUCGUAAAUUACUUUCUAGCUAUAUUUUUAGUUUUUAUAAAUAAUCUACAUUUAGUAUUUUAUGCAUGUAUCUAAAUAUUUGAUGUGACGAACAAUAUAAUUUAUUCGCCCGUAACGUGAAGACGAAAUCUAGAUAUGCUCGGCGUGUGCUACUACACAAUUGAGACUUCAGGGAAGCUUCUCUCUUCUCUUUUCAGCUGUCUGGGCCUGGGCUGUGUUGCAUGCAGAAUUCUGCAUGCAUAGCAUAGGUGCCGCUCUCGCUGCCAUGCCCAGCAUAGGUGCCUCCCAUCGGUUAGAGCCUGGGACAAAGCCUAUUGACUUGAGCUUAUCUAUUAAAUUUGACAGUUGAUGUUUAAGAACUAAUAAUAUAAUGACAAAAUAUAAUUUCUAGUAUGAUGUAACUUAACACUUACUGUGUAACAAAAAAAAGCAGGACACGCAUAUCGGCAUAUGGUUCUCCUCAUCCAUCCGAUCCAUCCUUCAAAUAAUUCUCCGCUAUGUUUGCUCAUGGCUUCAUUAUACGACAUGGUGUCAUCAUCCAGAAUAUAUAAUCCAUGGGACGGACUUUUCCCUAGCCCUCCUAGCUUAGCUUAGCCUUCUUGCUCGUUAGUUAUAUACUCCCUUCAUCUUAAAUUGUAAGUCAUUCCAAGAAUCUUGAAAAGUCAAAGCAUUUUCACGUUUGACCAAAAUUAUAAAGAAAAAUACUAAGAUUUGUAACGUAAAGUGAGUAUAUUAUGAAAAUAUAAUUAAGAAAAAAAUCUAAUGAUACUUAGUUAGUAUCAUAAUAAUUAUUAUUUUAUAAUAUAAAUUUGGUUAAACUUAAAAAAUUUGACUCUUCAAGAUUCUUGAAAUGACUUACAAUUUAGAAUGGAGGGAGUAUUAGAUUAGAUCUUUGUCAAACGGCCGUCGCUGCUCAAAUUAAAAGAUAUAAGAGCAAGGUCAAUAAUAGAGCCAAGUACUUGGUUAUAUAAGCUAAGUAAUUAGAGCCAAGUUAUACAAUAAGUUGUCUUAUACUUGUUCUAAACAUUUUCUCUUUCCUAUUCCUUCUCACAACACUUGCUAUUUGGACCCACUACUACCUAGGUCUUGUUUACUUCCCCAAAUAUUUUGCCAAAUGUUUCAUAUUCUCCGUCACAUCAAAUCUUACGACACAUGCAUGAAACAUUAAAUAUAGUUAAAAAAGAUAACUAAUUACACAGUUUGCAUAUAAUUUGCGAGACGAAUUUUUUGAGCCUAGUUAGCCUAUGAUUGGACAAUAUUUGUCAAAUACAAACGAAAGUGGUACUAUUCAUAUUUUGCAAAAAUUUUUGCAAGUAAACAAUCCGUGCCCAGCUUGGUGUUUAUAUGAGCGCUAAGCUAUCAUCUUUCUUCUCUCUUCUCUCCUCCACAUCAGUAUUAGCUUGGCUAUAAACCCAUUAUUAUACCUCCUCUAAUAGCUGUUGCAAUUGCAGCCCAACAAAGUGAAGUACAAUGGUGCUGUGGUGGUUUGAUCGCCCAGCUACGAUAUCAUUUGACAUGGAGCAGAGCUAGUAGCAGUACAAGUUGUACUUGCAGGGACGAUAGAGGCCAUGCACGCACAUGGAUCAUGGAAUUAAUCCUAUCACGUGGACCAUGGUUGAAUAUAUAAUCGCAUCUCGUCAAAGGAAAUGAUUGAGCUGUGCGCCUUUUUCAUGUGUGACAGUAGUGUGCGUUGCCGCUGGACAUUCGCAUGGGCUUCUCCACUCUGUCGCCAUGAAAUCUCUCUCUAUUUCUGAGAUUGUGCAAUGCCGAAGGAUGCUACCUGUUGGGGCUUCCAAGCGUCGCCUUCCCAUCAGUUUAGUCUCCUCCACUAGAUAUCAUACAACCACAGUUCAAGCUGCAGAGCGUCUACCGUCUUCCAAAAAUUUUCAGAUUCCGUCACAUCGAAUCUUUAGACGCACGUAUGGAGUCUUAAAUAUUCAUCAUAAAAAUAAAAACUAAUUGCACAAUUUACCUAUAAUUUGCGAGACGAAUCUUUUAAGCCUAGUUGAUCGAUAAUUGGACAAUAAUUAUCAAAUACAAACGAAAGUACUAUAUUAGCCAAAACCAAAAAAAAUCGCAAACUAAACUAGACCUAAGCAACAGCCAAAGCCACACAUUCCUCUACGAUCUUUUUCUUCUUCUGGAGCGAGUCGAGGCUACUCGUCCUCGAUAAGAAAAGCCAGCGGCCUUUCGUCGCGUAACAGGCAUAUGCAUGGUCUAUCUCCAUUGGAAUAAAGCAAUGGAUUCUGGCUUGCUUCUGUUGGCACGUAGGAGCAUAUAUCUUUUUUUAGAUUUCUCUAGCUGACCGGACUUUCUUUACCGGCGCGGCGAAAGGAGGACGACGCAUGUCCUACCGGAUAUGCUCUUUUCUGUCAUGGUAUAAGUAGGCGACCCUGUCGUUCCUCUCCUCACCAACAAACCCAAAAACGACAUGGUAUGCAUGCCUACCUUCGGUAUCGAUCUUACCUACUAUCCUUGAAGCAAUGAAGCAUGUGUUUAUGGAAAUGUGGAGGUCCAUUGCAGGGCAACCCUCCGUUGGCAGGUGCGACCUACACCCUACCCUGCCAAAGGGGAUUUGCCCAGCGAUGCGCCUGCACACACACACUUUCGCCACCUGCAGGCUGCAACAACUCAAGGUAGAAGAAGGGGCAGAUUUUUAUAUUUUAAUAAUAAUCCUUCCAAAAAAUAUUUUGCAUCAGAUAGCUCCACUGGCGUGACCAAACAACAUAGUCACGUCACAUGCAUUGACCCGACAAGAAACGACACAUUCGACAGCGUUUUUGACGUGGAAAAGCUUAUCACGCCACUCUCAAACUUUUAAAAAUCAUAACUCUUCGAUACAACGUCGGAUGAAAAAAAAAUUAUAUGAAACUUGUAGGAACCUAAUAUUUUCUGGGACAUGUGAUGCAAAAAUAUUUUUCUAGGAUGAUUAAUAUUAAAAUAUUUAUUAAAAAAGAUUAAAGUAUAAAAAAAAUCUAAGAAGACGACGGUGCUCCACCCGGCCUGCUACAUUCGGCCUUUCUUCGGCCCAUCAGACAGGAGCCCAAUAUUCGGCCUGGGUUGAACAAAGCCCAAAACCUAUCACAUGGUCACCAAAAGCCCAAAAAGGCCCAUGAAAAGCCUAUCCCAGCUCCCACCACCAGUGCACCACCCCAACUAGGGUUGCUCCCUUUCAACCUCGCGCCGCCACCCCCCUUCAUCUCUCGACGCCCAUCUCCUCCACCAUCCGCCGCCGCCGCCGAGAACGAGGAGAAGAGGAUCCGGCCGUUUCCUCGCCCCCAUGGUACCGCCUCCAUUCCAUCCUCGUGCUCCCAUUCCCAUCUUCUCGCCUUCCUCUUCCUCGUCCUGCCUGUGACAUGUGACGCUAACUCGCGUGGCGUUCCGCAGGCGUCCGAGAAGAAGCAGUCGAACCCGAUGCGGGAGAUCAAGGUGCAGAAGCUCGUCCUCAACAUCUCCGUCGGGGAGAGCGGUGACCGCCUCACCCGCGCCGCCAAGGUGCUCGAGCAGCUCAGCGGCCAGACCCCUGUCUUCUCCAAGGGUGAGUGUGCUGAGUUCUUCCGGCUCCGUUUCUUUCCCUUUCGCUGACGGGGUGCGUCCUUUUUGCCUGAUUUGCUGGUCGGUCUUGCAGCGAGGUACACGGUGCGGUCGUUCGGCAUCCGGCGCAACGAGAAGAUCGCCUGCUACGUCACUGUCAGGGGCGAGAAGGCCAUGCAGCUGCUUGAGAGCGGCCUCAAGGUCAAGGAGUACGAGCUGCUCAGGAGGAACUUCAGCGACACCGGGUGCUUCGGAUUCGGCAUCCAGGAGCACAUCGACCUUGGUAUCAAGUAUGGCUCCGUCGUACUUUUUCGAGAAUCUUUGCUAUGAUUCAGGCCAUAUGUUGUGUCAGUACAUAGGUUCUUGUUUUUGCACAUCAACUGUUUUUGCUACAUCGGUUGCUGUUGUUGUUAGAAGCUUCAAAAUUUCGGUCCUCUAUUUCCAUGUGGUGAGGCUACCAGUGAUAAAUCCGAUGCUAGUAAAUCCUUGGCUUGUUUUCUAGUACUAUCUUUGUCCAUUAGCUCCAAGCCCAGUAAUUGUUUCUGAACAUGACUGAUGCUUUAGUUCACUAUGAGCAUGUUUUUAGAAUUGAUUAAAACAUUGUUCUAGGUGUUUGUUGUUUAAGACUGAGGUCCAGAAAUCACAAAUCAUUCUGCAGUUAUUGCACAGUUAGUUGUCAUACAAGUGGAUAAUAUUUUUCUUCUGUCAUUGCGAUGCUAGUUCAGUGGAAGUUUACAGUUUAGUCUGUGACAUUGUGUGCAUUGUUGGUACAAUGCAGUUCUUGAAUUUUGUCAUCUGUGCAGAGUUUAUCUGGUUUUGCAUAUUUACAUUUAGUGUUUGUUCCUACUGUUAAGACUGAAACGUGCUCCGUGUAUAUAUAAUUUAAAUUGUCUGUUUAUCCUGAUGUUUCCGUUUUUGUCUGAUGAGCCUUGUUGUUAGUAUUUGAGGCAUUGGUUCCUUACUCCUUAUGCGGUAAAGAAUGUACUAAUAGCCAUUUAAUGACCUGAAAUAUUUGUGUCAGCUGAGGAUUGCUAACAUGAAUUAAGCUAUACUGCUAUACCUUUAAAUUUUUAAUAAGCCACACACCAAUGCAAAUUUUAAUUCUGUCGGCAGAGGCACAUAGUUUUUCAAUAUGCUCUGUUUUUAGUUUUAUAUAUUCUCUCCAGAGGCACUGAGCCAUGUCUUUGUAUUGUGC